rnacentral:rRNA from 1 species
UCAGGUGGCCGCAGAGAAUAGGCCCAAGCGACUGUUUACCAAAAACAUAGGUUUCUGCUAAGUCGCAAGACGAUGUAUAGGAGCUGACGCCUGCCCGGUGCUGGAAGGUUAAGGGGAUCUGUUAGAGCAAUCGAAGCAGUGAACUUAAGCCCCAGUAAACGGUGGCCGUAACUAUAACGGUCGUAAGGUAGCGAAAUUCCUGGUCGAGUAAGUUCCGACCCGCACGAAAGGGGUAACGAUUUGGGCACUGGCGCAACAACAGACUCGGUGAAAUUGUAAUUCCGGUGAAGAUGCCGGAUACCUGCGACAGGACGGAAAGACCCCAUGGAGCUUUACUGUAGCUUGACAUUGGGUCUUGGUACUACAUGUACAGGAUAGGU